UACGAAGGGGGCUAGCGUUGCUCGGAAUCACUGGGCGUAAAGCGCACGUAGGCGGCUUCUUAAGUCAGGGGUGAAAGCCUGGAGCUCAACUCCAGAACUGCCUUUGAUACUGAGGAGCUUGAGUCCGGGAGAGGUGAGUGGAACUGCGAGUGUAGAGGUGAAAUUCGUAGAUAUUCGCAAGAACACCAGUGGCGAAGGCGGCGAUCUGGGCUGAUACUGACGCUGAGGUGCGAAAGCGUGGGGAGCAAACAGG
rnacentral:rRNA from 1 species